CAAGUAAGUGCGUUCCUACUAAGGUCACUCACGCUCCCCUGAAACUUAAGCCCCGCCUCUUGGGUUAUAUGAUUGGCAGGUGCCACAGGGGGCACUUCAUGCAUGGAGACACAACACAGCCAGAACAGAGCACCACCUGUACUGGCAUUUUGGGCAGCUGGUUACCAGGACAAAUGUUUGACUGCAUCCGUGUUGAAGACUGCGGGAUAUCUUCAAUGCAGCACUGUCCGCUGGUUACUUCCCCAACGGGUUCAAGCAGGCCGAGACAAGGAUGAUUCCGAAGGCCGGUAAGCCUCCCACAAGACCGGAGAACUACCCCUCUGGGCCUGUUACCUGCUAUUGCCCGGUCACCACUCUCGGCGUCUACCCAGCUCUCCUAUUCAUUCGGAGGACGGUCUGGUCCUCUGGUGAUCCUGUGCCUGCCUGCUGUGAAGGAAGGAGUCAGUUGCUGAUGUAUUGUUACUACUAAGUAAACGUAUGAAGCUG
rnacentral:misc_RNA from 1 species